UGGGGAAUAUUAGGCAAUGGGCGAAAGCCUGAUGCAGCAACGCCGCGUGCGGGAAGACAGCCCUAGGGUUGUAAACCGCUUUCAGCAGGGAAGAAACUGACGGUACCUGCAGAAGAAGAUGCGGCCAACUACGUGCCAGCAGCCGCGGUGACACGUAGGCAUCAAGCGUUAUCCGGAUUUAUUGGGCGUAAAGAGCUCGUAGGCGGUUCGGUAAGUCGGGUGUGAAAACUCUGGGCUCAACCCAGAGAGGCCACUCGAUACUGCUGUGACUAGAGUGCGGUAGGGGAGCGGGGAAUUCCUGGUGUAGCGGUGAAAUGCGCAGAUAUCAGGAGGAACACCAGUGGCGAAGGCGCCGCUCUGGGCCGUAACUGACGCUGAGGAGCGAAA
rnacentral:rRNA from 1 species